AAGGAAUAUUGGUCAAUGGAGGAAACUCUGAACCAGCCAUGCCGCGUGGAGGAUGAAGGUCCUCUGGAUUGUAAACUUCUUUUAUAUGGGGCGAAAAAACGGUUUUCUAACCGGACUGACGGUACCAUAUGAAUAAGCACCGGCUAACUCCGUGCCAGCAGCCGCGGUAAUACGGAGGGUGCAAGCGUUAUCCGGAUUCACUGGGUUUAAAGGGUGCGUAGGUGGGCUGAUAAGUCAGCGGUGAAAUCUUCAAGCUUAACUUGGAAACUGCCGUUGAUACUAUUGGUCUUGAAUAUUGCAGAGGCUAGCGGAAUAUGUCAUGUAGCGGUGAAAUGCUUAGAUAUGACAUAGAACACCAAUUGCGAAGGCAGCUGGCUAUACAUAUAUUGACACUGAGGCACGAAAGCGUGGGGAUCAAAC
rnacentral:rRNA from 1 species